AUGGGUUGCGAGCCUGAUCCAGCCAUCCCGCGUGAAGGACGACGGCCCUAUGGGUUGUAAACUUCUUUUGUAUAGGGAUAAACCUAGAUACGUGUAUCUAGCUGAAGGUACUAUACGAAUAAGCACCGGCUAACUCCGUGCCAGCAGCCGCGGUAAUACGGAGGGUGCAAGCGUUAUCCGGAUUUAUUGGGUUUAAAGGGUCCGUAGGCGGAUCUGUAAGUCAGUGGUGAAAUCUCACAGCUUAACUGUGAAACUGCCAUUGAUACUGCAGGUCUUGAGUGUUGUUGAAGUAGCUGGAAUAAGUAGUGUAGCGGUGAUAAUGCAUAGAUAUUACUUAGAACACCAAUUGCGAAGGCAGGUUACUAAGCAACAACUGACGCUGAUGGACGAAAGUCGUGGGGAGCGAACAGGAUUAGAUACCCUGGUAGUCCACGCCGUAAACGAUGCUAACUCGUUUUUGGUAUUUCGGUAUCAGAGACUAAGCGAAAGUGAUAAGUUAGCCACCUGGGGAGUAC
rnacentral:rRNA from 1 species